CGCAACGUGGGUGCUCGGGCGGGUCCAACAAUUCGGUCUCUUGAGAUUAUUUAAUUUAUUGGCGAUGGUCGGUAGGAAGAGGGCCUUCUAUUCAAGCUUGUAACGCGUCGGCAAGCGGGGGAUGAGCCGAGCGGCAGCGGAGAGAAUGGCCAAGGAUAUCGGAAGGGCGAGCAUGGAGUCGCCAGCGGCAUCUUUGUCGGCGACAACAGCGACGUCGAGGUGGGCGUGGCCGUCGGUGCUCCGAUGGAUCCCCACGUCCACCGACCGCAUCAUCGCCGCCGAGAAGCGCCUCCUUUCCCUCGUCAAAAAUGGAUAUGUCCAAGAGCAAGUAAAUAUUGGUUCUGGGCCACCUGGGUCAAAGGUUAGAUGGUUCAGGUCUUCCAGUGAUAAGCCCAGGUUUAUCAAUACAGUGACAUUUGACAGCCCGGAUAACUCGCCGACACUUGUCAUGGUUCAUGGAUAUGGUGCUUCUCAAGGUUUCUUCUUUCGGAACUUUGAUGCCCUUGCUAGUCGUUUUCGAGUUAUUGCCAUUGAUCAACUCGGCUGGGGUGGGUCAAGUCGACCAGACUUUACAUGUAAAAGCACAGAAGAAACUGAGGCAUGGUUCAUUGAUUCUUUCGAAGAAUGGCGCAAGGCCAAAAAUCUCACUAAUUUUAUUUUGCUCGGGCAUUCAUUUGGAGGAUAUGUUGCAGCAAAGUAUGCUCUGAAGCAUCCUGAGCACAUCCAACACCUGAUUUUGGUUGGUCCUGCUGGCUUUACAUCGGAGUCAGAACAUAAGUCAGAGUGGUUGACAAAAUUUAGAGCAACUUGGAAGGGAACGAUAGCAAAUCAUCUAUGGGAAUCCAACUUUACUCCUCAAAAAAUAAUUCGAGGUCUAGGACCUUGGGGCCCCGACCUUGUCCGCAGAUAUACGAGUGCUAGAUUUGGUUCUUAUUCAUCUGGUGACAUAUUGAAUGAAGAGGAGUCCAGAUUGCUAACAGAUUAUGUAUACCAUACUUUAGCUGCCAAGGCUAGUGGAGAACUGUGCUUGAAGUAUAUCUUUUCUUUUGGGGCAUUUGCACGGAAGCCUCUUCUACAAAGCAGGAAAAUAUAUCAUCACAAACUUGCAUUGGCAUCACAUGAUGUCUUUGUUGCCUGCAUGCAGCGCCUCAGAGUGGAAGGUGUCAACUACCUUCAUUUAUGGUUACGAUGAUUGGAUGAACUAUCAAGGGGCACAAGAAGCUCGCAAGCACAUGAAAGUUCCUUGUGAAAUCAUAAGAGUUCCCCGGGGAGGGCACUUUGUUUUCAUUGAUAACCCAUCAGGAUUCCACUCAGCAGUCUUCCAUGGAUGCAGGAGAUUUCUAUCCCCAGAUCAUGUUGAUGACCAAACUCUACCUGAUGGCGUUACUGUUGUGUAGGUUGUCAUCUUGGCCAUUUUUCUAUUUAUGUAUCCUAUAUAACACCAUUAUAAUACAGUAUCAAAUGUAUUAUUACCAUUCUUGUAACUCAAUAUGUUAUUGCCAACAUUCUGUAUCCUGUCUCUUGCUGCUUUUGGAAUAAAUAGAUGAACAACUUUAGAUAAUUGUAGGAUGUUGAGACAUGUUAUAUAAUUACUUGGUCGAAUGGCCAUCAUAGUAAAAUGUCAGUUCUUACAUAUAUACCCUUGUAGUUAUCCCUGAAUAUUUACAAUUUGUAUAUUUACUCCAGUUAUGAUAUAUUUCACAGAUUUACGC